UACGUAGGGUGCGAGCGUUGUCCGGAAUUAUUGGGCGUAAAAGAGCUUGUAGGCGGUUUGUCGCGUCUGCCGUGAAAUUUCGAAGGCUCAACCUCGAACUUGCGGUGGGUACGGGGCAGACUAGAGUGUGGUAGGGGAGACUGGAAUUCCUGGUGUAGCGGUGAAAUGCGCAGAUAUCAGGAGGAACACCGAGUGGAAGGCAGGGUCUCCUGGGGCCAGCUGACUGACGCUGGAGGAAGCGAAAAGC
rnacentral:rRNA from 1 species